AACGAACGCUGGCGGCAUGCCUAACACAUGCAAGUCGAACGAGAUCUUCGGGUCUAGUGGCGCACGGGUGCGUAACGCGUGGGAAUCUGCCCUUUGGUUCGGAAUAACAGUUGGAAACGACUGCUAAUACCGGAUGAUGACGAAAGUCCAAAGAUUUAUCGCCAGAGGAUGAGCCCGCGUAGGAUUAGCUAGUUGGUGUGGUAAAGGCGCACCAAGGCGACGAUCCUUAGCUGGUCUGAGAGGAUGAUCAGCCACACUGGGACUGGGACACGGCCCAGACUCCUACGGGAGGCAGCGGUGGGGAAUAUUGGACAAUGGGCGAAAGCCUGAUCCAGCAAUGCCGCGUGAGUGAUGAAGGCCUUAGGGUUGUAAAGCUCUUUUACCCGGGAUGAUAAUGACAGUACCGGGAGAGUAAGCUCCGGCUAACUCCGUGCCAGCCGCCGCCGUAA
rnacentral:rRNA from 1 species